UCGGGGCGUAGCGCAGCCUGGUAGCGCACUUGCAUGGGGUGCAAGGGGUCGAGUGUUCGAAUCACUCCGUCCCGACCAA
rnacentral:tRNA from 1 species